rnacentral:rRNA from 1 species
UUGUAAAACGACGGCCAGUGAAUUCGAGCUCGGUACCCGGGGAUCCGAUCAGGCCUAACACAUGCAAGUCGAACGUGAAGGGGUACUUGUAUCCCUGAAAGUGGCGGACGGGUGAGUAAGACGUAGGUGACCUGCCUCGGAGUGGGGGAUAACCAUUGGAAACGAUGGCUAAUACCGCAUGGGUUACUGGUGCUGGGAAGCACGGGUAACAAAGCUUUGGCGCUUGGAGAGGGGCCUACGGCCGAUUAGCUAGUUGGUGAGGUAAAGGCUCACCAAGGCAAUGAUCGGUAGCUGGUCUGAGAGGACGAUCAGCCACACGGGAACUGAGACACGGUCCCGACUCCUACGGGGGGCAGCAGUGAGGAAUAUUCGGCAAUGGGCGCAAGCCUGAUCCAGCCAUGCCGCGUGGAUGAUGAAG